rnacentral:rRNA from 1 species
UUGGAUGGGGGAACCCUGACCGAGCAUACUACGUGAAGGACGAAGGUAUGCAGAGAUGCGAUUGUAAACUUCUGUUAGUGCGGAAAAAGGGCUGAACGCGAGUUCAGUUUUGAUGGUACGCACAGAGAAAGUCACGACUAACUACGUGCCAGCAGUCGCGGUAAGACGUAGGUGACGAACGUUAUCCGGAAUUAUUGGGCGUAAAGGGUGCGUAGAUGGUUUGAAAAGUUAGUGGUGGGAAAUCGAGGCUCAACCUCGUGGAAACUAUUGAUACUGUCAGACUGGAGAACAGGAGAGGUUAACGGAACUCCAUGUGGAGCGGUAAAAUGUGACGAUAUAUGGAAGAACACCAAUAACGGCGAAGGCAGUUAACUAUUCUGUUUCUGACAUUGAGGCACGAAAGCGUGGGGAGCAAAAAGGAUUAGAUACCCUUGUAGUCCACGCCCUAAACGAUGAGUGCUAGAUAUUGGACCUUGGUUCAGUGUCGCUAGAUAACUCGGUAAGCACUCCGCCUGGGCAGUACGCUCGCAAGAGUGAAACUCAAAGGAAUUGACGGA